GGAUGAAGAACGCAGCGAAAUGCGAUAAGUAGUGUGAAUUGCAGAAUUCAGUGAAUCAUCGAAUCUUUGAACGCACAUUGCGCCUUCUGGUAUUCCGGGAGGCAUGCCUGUCCGAACGUCAUCAAGCCCCUCGCCUGCAUCUGUUGCUUGCAACAGAAGCCUGGGCGGCAAGUGGCGGAUGGCCGCCUCUGUGUGGCCACUGCUGAAAUGCAUCGGCAGACCCUUCAUGGCUGUGAUUGUGAUAAGGUUUUUACUUACAAUCCAUACACUGAUAGGUGUCUCGCCACAAGCACUCAGGAGCUCCUCCACGGGACCUCUUGUGAAACCAAAUCUUUUGACUUCGGAUCAGGUAGGGAUACCCGCUGAACUUAAGCAUAUCAAUAAGCGGAGGA
rnacentral:misc_RNA from 1 species